rnacentral:rRNA from 1 species
UACAGAGGUCUCAAGCGUUGUUCGGAUUCAUUGGGCGUAAAGGGUGUGUAGGUGGCGCCGUAAGUCGGGUGUGAAAUUUCGGAGCUUAACUCCGAAACUGCAUUCGAUACUGCGGUGCUUGAGGACUGGAGAGGAGACUGGAAUUCAUGGUGUAGCAGUGAAAUGCGUAGAGAUCAUGAGGAAGACCAGUGGCGAAGGCGGGUCUCUGGGCCUUUCCUGACGCUGAGACGCGAAAGCGUGGGGAGCGAACCGG